UCGUAACAAGGUUUCCGUAGGUGAACCUGCGGAAGGAUCAUUACCUAGAGUUUGUGGGCUUUGCCUGCUAUCUCUUACCCAUGUCUUUUGAGUACUUACGUUUCCUCGGUGGGUUCGCCCGCCGAUUGGACAAUUUAAACCCUUUGCAGUUGCAAUCAGCGUCUGAAAAACAUAAUAGUUACAACUUUCAACAACGGAUCUCUUGGUUCUGGCAUCGAUGAAGAACGCAGCGAAAUGCGAUAAGUAGUGUGAAUUGCAGAAUUCAGUGAAUCAUCGAAUCUUUGAACGCACAUUGCGCCCCUUGGUAUUCCAUGGGGCAUGCCUGUUCGAGCGUCAUUUGUACCUUCAAGCAUUGCUUGGUGUUGGGUGUUUGUCUCGCCUUUGCGUGUAGACUCGCCUUAAAACAAUUGGCAGCCGGCGUAUUGAUUUCGGAGCGCAGUACAUCUCGCGCUUUGCACUCAUAACGACGACGCCCAAAAGUACAUUUUAACACUCUUGACCUCGGAUCAGGUAGGGAUACCCGCUGAACUUAAGCAUAUCAAUAA
rnacentral:misc_RNA from 1 species